AUGAAGCAGAACAGCGUGCCCAGAAUUAUUCUUAUCAUCUUCUGUGCGCUCGUUUUUGUUGCAGUUUUAGUCAUCAACGCUUUGGCUGGAGCGGGCAGAGGUCCCUUCCAUUUAUCUACAGGCAAUGUGUCGGCCCGCUAUGAGACAGACAUCACUCCAGCUGGCUGGACCUUCUCCAUCUGGGGUGUUAUCUAUACCUGGCUGACCUUGAUGGUUAUUUACAUCACUAGUUAUGUAUUCAGAGGGUCCUGGGCUCAGUGUCUGCUGCCUUGUGCCUUCUAUUUUUGCUGGCUGUCCAGCAUGGUCUUAAACAUGAUCUGGCUGGUGGUGUGGGACAGAGAGUUGAUGCUGGCUUCUCUGGUUGUCUUAAUCCUGAUAGCACUCUCCAACUACAGUGCUCUGUUCCUCUGCUGCUUUGCCACAGACUACUAUGGCCUCUGGUUACAGACAUACCAUCGGAAAGACCUUGCCUGCCUCAGGAUACUGGUCCAGAAUGGUUUGGCUGUCUACACUACAUGGACAUCCAUCGCCUCUCUGAUUAAUUUCUCAGUGGUGCUCCAGCUGUGGGGUGUGGACAGGAGCACCGCAGGAACGGCCUCUCUGUGCAUCCUGUUUGCAGAGGUGGUGGGAUGGUUCAUUCUUGAGAACUGGGUGCUGGACCGCUGGGUGCGUAACAUCCUGACAGUCUAUCCAGUGGUGAUAGUAGCCCUGGUGGGAAACGUCUACAAACAUUUCAACCCAGCUGACCCCAGACCAAAUUCUAUCUUCAUGGUCGUGCUGCUGGUGCUGGCCUGUAUCCUGUUUGUUUCCCGAUUCUUCACGGUCAUCUGGAGGAACAAGUGGAGGCCGCUGCACUCCCUCGGCUCAGCCCGGCUAAUGAUAUCACCUCUCGACGGCAAGAAGUUCAAGAUCUUUUCCUAAUUGGAAGACAUGUUGUGUUCACAUGUCCCCACUCUUACCAAUUCCUGUUCUUAGACUCAUACUGCAGUUUCUAUACCACAAAUAUGACAUGUAGAAUGAAGUGUAAUCAAACCAAUAGUUACUACAGCUGACACUAGUAAUUAAUAUUAGACGUGUCUGAAUCUUGCAGACACAUACAUGUGAUUUGAUGUAUAAUAUUUUGUAUUAUUAUAAUCACCAUUUAUGAUUAUUGCACUUUUUUAUAUUCAUGCAGUGGCAGUCUGUGCUGUACACGGCUAUGAAGGACUUUUUAACAGCAACAGCAUGAUUUAU
rnacentral:lncRNA from 1 species